GACGCUCAGCCGCCAUCGACCGAUGUUAGGAAUCAAACAAACACACAUCAUGCGCAAUAUCAGAUCAAUACUGAACACUGCGCGUCUCGCCUCACGCUGAUCUCCAUCAUGUAAAAACCAUUGAUUCGGUGUGUCAGCGGCGCGCCGUGCCGAAUUCACUGAGAACCGCGACCUCAAGUGGCACGCUGCUGACGCAAUAUCGAUUAUCCGAAUGUUUCACUUUGGACAAAAAUCACUUGGAGUCGCACGGUGCGCACUUUUCCUCUCCAGUCUCCAUCCUGCCUUCUUCUUCUUCUUCUUUUUCCUCCGCACCUCCUGCGAGCAUGCAGUGAUCCCCACCUACUUCGUGCCCAAACGGAGAGCUUAGAGAGGACUUUUUCUUUUCCUUCCUUCCUUCCUUUUUUUUUUUUUUUUUUUUUUUUUGGCGACCAGAUAUCCUCCUUCACCCACCCGGGAGUCCACUCCAACGGAUUUUACAGGACAACCCCCAACGUUUGUGUUAUUUUUUAAAUUUUAUUUUAUUUUCUUGCUCGCCGGUCUGCGGGCUAUGCCGUCGGGGCUGGAGAGGAUCGAGGGGGAAGCUACCACAGGUGAACGGAGGCUCUCUUUACGACGCUGCGGUAUACGCGGCUGAACACUUGGAGCAUUAACAGGACGGGGAAUUGAGGUGGACGCACUUUGGGACAACUAAAAAAAUAAGGACGUCUGCCAACUUGUGUUCCUGAAGAUACAUAAAUAUAUUUAUAUGUAAAUACACUGUAUUAUUUCACCAACCCGGGAUUCCAAAAGGAAGAUGUGACCUUUUUUUUUUUUUUUUUUUCUGUCUCUCUCUCUCUGUCUUUUGCGCACCGGCAAUCCGACUGAAACCUGAGGAGCACUCGCUUUCUGUCUUUCUUUCUUUCCUCCCCCCCGCCGUCACUUGCUCCAUCCUGACAUGCCUUUUUGUGGGAUUACACGCGGAGAUACGAGCGCUGUCAGAGACCGAGCUGGAUUGUGAGAUAUUUGGCUUUUUUUCCCCCUCUCCCUCUCUUUAUUCGUCACCCUCUUCCCCUCCUUAAAAGAAAAAAAAAAAAAAGAAAAAAAAAGAGAGAGAGAGGAAGUGCUUCUGUUUUGUGUUCAAUGGCGAGGUUGUCAAGACGCAAAGAUGCCACUCGCUGGCCGAGGAUGUCGUCAACUUUCUGGGCUGUGCUGCUGCUGACAGCGCUGCUGCUCCUCUACUGCGGCCAGCUGGCAGCGGGGACAUGUGAGAUUGUGACGCUGGACAGGGACAGCAGCCAACCACGGCGGACCAUCGCCAGGCAGACGGCCCGCUGCGCCUGUAAGAAGGGCCAGAUCGCUGGAACUACAAGAGCCAGACCCGCCUGUGUGGACGCUGGCAUUGUUCGGAAAAAGCAGUGGUGUGAGAUGGUGCCGUGUUUGGAGGACGAAGGCUGUGACCUGUUAGUCAAUAAAUCCGGCUGGACUUGUACACAGCCCGGAGGCCGGGUCAAAACCACCACGGCUCUAUGACGCGACAAGAGUCCCCCUCGACACUCUUGCACUAUGGAGAGCAUUGAUGACCCCUUGACAGACAGCCAAAAACCAUCUUGCAACACCACCAACACCACCCUACCAACACCACCACCAACAUCACAACAACUCCACCCAAACCCUGGUCCCGCAAAGGCAGGAAGCAACACAAGCAGCUACAGCACAGCACCUCAUGGAGGCAGCAAGGUCUCAUAACACAGCCGGAAGACGGGAACACCAGGGAGUGACUGUUUGAGGGAGCAAACUCUCCCUUGGACACUGGACAAACCACUCGCUGUAAAAACACUGUCUAUUUCCUGUGACCGGCUCCUCCGGGCUUGUGACUGCUCCCUCCUGCUAUCUGUCGUCGGGUCAAAAUGACGCAUCCACCUCCUCUCCACUCUUAUCUGCCUGCUCUGUGAAGUUAGCAGCGCCUGCUCGUGCCACGGAGGAUCGGACACCUCAGAAAUCCCAUGAAUGGUUUUUUUUCGCCUCAUCGGAAGUCCUUCUGUUUGAAAACUGUUUUGAAUGAGGGGUUUCCCGCAUCACGUCACCGGCCACUGGAUGCAGGACCUCCGGAGCGCAGUACCGGAUCAUUACAGACCAGACCCUGUUGCUUCUCGGACCACCUCACGAGGCCGUAAAAAAAAAAAAAAAAAAAAAAAAACCUGAACUGAGCGCGCUCUGCUGUGAAUAGGCCUUCUGCUGGAGUGAACCUCCCAUAUUUUUAUAGACCAAAGAGCAAAACAACAAAUACGAUCAUGAAGACGGAGCGGACGAUCUGGCAAAGACACGCGGAGACUUUGUGAACUUGCCCUCUGUGUCGCCGCCGGCUGCCCCCCUCACAGAGACACGGUGCACAAGUGGACCGAUGCAAACUGAACGUCGCAUAUGGGGGGACAAAAAGUACCGUACACAAUCAAAAGGAGUACUUUUAAAACUUUCCAAACAACUUUUUUUUUUUUUUUUCUCAGAACUAUGCCCACCACUGUAUUUUGGAACUGGAGAUAUAGGUACUACAUACGUAUAACUGUGUAUCAAAAAAAAAAUUUGCAUUUUUCAGUAGCUAUGGUUGGGACAGCUUGCAGGAUUGUCGCGUUGGUCACGGAUUGGGGGAGCGCAAAUCAUAUCAAAGAGAUGAUGAAUAUCUACAGAGAGUAUAAAUGCUGUUGAGUCUGAAAAGAAGGAGUGAAGAAAUGUCAUUAAAUGUAUUUUGAAAGGCCCUAAAAAGUUAUAUAUUUAACAGUUUUAUAUGUUGUACCUUUGUAGAGAAGCUUAUUGGACUUAAAAAUGUGGUCACAAUGGCAGUUUAGUAGGAUGUGAACAAAUGCUGUUGUUCUCAUUACUGCUGGCUCGUAGUCCCAGGUUUUCUGUUUCACACCUCAGUAGCCGCUUUCUUUUCAUGGUCAUCAACGAGUCAUCGUCUAUCAGAUCCAUAAAUGGGAAAAAAAAAAAAAAAUAGAAAAAAAAGGAAAGUGACACAAUUUAUUGAGGACUGAUCUGCAGCCAACUGAACAUUGUAAAUCUAUGGUAGUCAGUGGAAGCCAUUGAUAUCUGCUAAUUUGCUAUGAUAUUGUAUUGUACACGGUGUGGAAUACUGACUCAUUUCCUCUCUA